AGAGUUUGAUCAUGGCUCAGAUUGAACGCUGGCGGCAGGCCUAACACAUGCAAGUCGAGCGGAUGAAGAGAGCUUGCUCUCUGAUUCAGCGGCGGACGGGUGAGUAAUGCCUAGGAAUCUGCCUGAUAGUGGGGGACAACGUUUCGAAAGGAACGCUAAUACCGCAUACGUCCUACGGGAGAAAGCAGGGGACCUUCGGGCCUUGCGCUAUCAGAUGAGCCUAGGUCGGAUUAGCUAGUUGGUGAGGUAACGGCUCACCAAGGCGACGAUCCGUAACUGGUCUGAGAGGAUGAUCAGUCACACUGGAACUGAGACACGGUCCAGACUCCUACGGGAGGCAGCAGUGGGGAAUAUUGGACAAUGGGCGAAAGCCUGAUCCAGCCAUGCCGCGUGUCUGAAGAAGGCCUUCGGGUUGUAAAGGACUUUUGUCGGGGAAGAAAAGCAAAGUGAUAAUACCAUUUUGUGAUGACGGUACCCGAAGAAUAAGCACCGGCUAACUACGUGCCAGCAGCCGCGGUAAUACGUAGGGUGCAAGCGUUAAUCGGAAUUACUGGGCGUAAAGCGUGCGCAGGCGGUUAUAUAAGACAGAUGUGAAAUCCCCGGGCUCAACCUGGGAACUGCAUUUGUGACUGUAUAGCUAGAGUACGGCAGAGGGGGAUGGAAUUCCGCGUGUAGCAGUGAAAUGCGUAGAUAUGCGGAGGAACACCGAUGGCGAAGGCAAUCCCCUGGGCCUGUACUGACGCUCAUGCACGAAAGCGUGGGGAGCAAACAGGAUUAGAUACCCUGGUAGUCCAUGCCGUAAACGAUGUCUACUAGCCGC
rnacentral:rRNA from 1 species